CAAUAGCGUAUAUUAAAGUUGUUGCGGUUAAAAAGCUCGUAGUUGGAUUUCUGCCGAGGACGACCGGUCCGCCCUCUGGGUGAGUAUCUGGCUCGGCCUGGGCAUCUUCUUGGAGAACGUAGCUGCACUUGACUGUGUGGUGCGGUAUCCAGGACUUUACUUGAGGAAAUUAGAGUGUUUCAAGCAGGCAUACGCCUUGAAUACAUUAGCAUGGAAUAAUAAGAUAGGACCUCGGUUCUAUUUUGUUGGUUUUCGGAACUUGAGGUAAUGAUUAAGAGGGACAGACGGGGGCAUUCGUAUUACGGUGUUAGAGGUGAAAUUCUUGGAUCGCCGUAAGACGAACUACUGCGAAAGCAUUUGCCAAGAAUGUUUUCAUUAAUCAAGAUCGAAAGUCAGAGGUUCGAAGACGAUUAGAU
rnacentral:rRNA from 1 species